rnacentral:lncRNA from 1 species
AUCGUGUAGCAUUCUGGGUACCAGAUUCGGGGCGUUACAGAACCCUAACUGAUAUCUCAUAAAUUCAAUUAUAAAAUCAAAGCUUCUGGGCACAAAUAUUAAAGGUUAUUCUUGUUCAAACCCCACAUACCUGAACUUGAUGAACUUUCUUGAGAGAAAUUUGAAUUGGAACCUUGGGACUUGAACUUUGGUAAGAAACCCUAACUUCUUUUCUCUUAAGAGUGGAGAGGAGAAUGAGUGUUGAAACCUGACUACUAAUGAGAAUAUAAUAUUUAUAGGGUGAUUUAAAUCAUGGGGUAAGG